rnacentral:rRNA from 1 species
GACGAACGCUGGCGGCGCGCCUAACACAUGCAAGUCGAACGAGAGAUGAAGAGCUUGCUCUUCAAAUCGAGUGGCGAACGGGUGAGUAACGCGUGAGGAACCUGCCUCAAAGAGGGGGACAACAGUUGGAAACGACUGCUAAUACCGCAUAAGCCCACGGCUCGGCAUCGAGCAGAGGGAAAAGGAGCAAUCCGCUUUGAGAUGGCCUCGCGUCCGAUUAGCUAGUUGGUGAGGUAACGGCCCACCAAGGCGACGAUCGGUAGCCGGACUGAGAGGGUGACCGGCCACAUUGGGACUGAGACACGGCCCAAACUCCUACGGGAGGCAGCAGUGAGGAAUAUUGCACAAUGGGGGAAACCCUGAUGCAGCGACGCCGCGUGAGCGAAGAGUAUUUCGGUAUGUAAAGCUCUAUCAGCAGGGAAGAAGAAAUGACGGUACCUGACUAAGAAGCACCGGCUAAAUACGUGCCAGCAGC